rnacentral:rRNA from 1 species
UACGUAGGGGGCAAGCGUUGUCCGGAAUUAUUGGGCGUAAAGAGCGCGUAGGCGGUCCGAUAAGUCGGCUGUGAAAGUCAAGGGCUCAACCCUUGAAAGCCGGCCGAUACUGUCGGGCUCGAGUCCGGAAGAGGAGUGUGGAAUUCCUGGUGUAGCGGUGAAAUGCGCAGAUAUCAGGAGGAACACCAAUGGCGAAGGCAGCACUCUGGGACGUGACUGACGCUGAGACGCGAAAGCGUGGGGAGCAAACAGG